CCUACGGGAGGCAGCAGUGAGGAAUAUUGCACAAUGGGCGCAAGCCUGAUGCAGCGACGCCGCGUGGGGGAUGAAGGCCUUCGGGUUGUAAACUCCUUUCGCCAGGGACGAAGCUUUUGUGACGGUACCUGGAGAAGAAGCACCGGCUAACUACGUGCCAGCAGCCGCGGUA
rnacentral:rRNA from 1 species